rnacentral:rRNA from 1 species
CCUACGGGAGGCUGCAGUAGGGAAUAUUGCUCAAUGGGGGAAACCCUGAAGCAGCAACGCCGCGUGGAGGAUGAAGGUUUUCGGAUUGUAAACUCCUUUUGUCAGAGAAGAUAAUGACGGUAUCUAACGAAUAAGCACCGGCUAACGCCGUGCCAGCAGCCGCGGUAAUACGGAGGGUACAAGCGUUACUCGGAAUCACUGGGCGUAAAGAGCGCGUAGGCGGGAUAGCUAGUCAGAUGUGAAAUCCUAUGGCUUAACCAUCGAACUGCAUUUGAAAAUGGCUUUCUAGAGUAGGGGAGAGGUAGGUGGAAUUCUUGGUGUAGGGGUAAAAUCCGUAGAGAUCAAGAGGAAUACUCAUUGCGAAGGCGACCUGCUAGAACAUAACUGACGCUGAUGCGCGAAAGCGUGGGGAGCGAACAGGAUUAGAUACCCUUGUAGUC